GAAGAUACUCAUCUUCUUAAACUAAAAUCCCCUAAAAAUGAUGUCUUUUGGGAAACAACAAUGGAGUCAUUUAUUCAAGAUUAUCGAACAAUCGAUGGUGUUAACAUUGCUUAUGCUGGUAAAACAUCUGUUUCGUUAUUCAGAUUCGGCGAAAAUUCAGAAGAUCAUACUUUAUGCUGGUAAAACAUCUGUUUCUUUAUUCAGAUUCGGCGAAAAUUCAGAAGAUCAUACUAGGACUAGAAUGGAAGAAGUUUGGACAAUUGAAGAAGUUGAUUUUAAUAUAAAAGGACUUUCUUUGGAU
rnacentral:lncRNA from 1 species